AGCUUUAUAUUCAAUUAUGAUUUUAAAUUGCAAAUUUAAAGGUAAAUUAUAAAUUUUAAGGCUU
rnacentral:tRNA from 1 species